UGGAAAAUAAAAAUGCCACUAACCUCUCCUCUAUAUUUUUUCCAGGGAUAAUUCUGAUACAAAAAAAAAAAGAAGCAUUGUCGGUAGCAUGCAUUGGGUGUUCAAUAAAUGUCACCAGUCAGGAAUAAAUGUCACCAGUCAAGAAUAAUCAUGAAGGAAAGACAAGAAAGUGGGUGCCUUGAGGAGGCUCAGGAGAAGAGAUAAGCCCCUCUAGGGAGGACUGUUCUCCUGGGAGGAAGGAACCGCUUGUCGAGAGGGAAUGAAGUGAGGAGUGAAUUCGUCAGGGGAGGGAGCUUGAUGGCACCGUAUUCCAAGAGAAAGCAGUGGCAUUAAAGGCACUGGAGGUGCUGCACAGGGAAUUUAAGACUUCUGCGGGCAGCCGUCACCUACCCCACAAUUCUGCCUCAGCCUGGCCCUGCCCAUCAUCUCCCAAGGGGAGGUGGCCUCGGGCUCCAGAAAUAAAUAGCACGGUCCCGGCACUCUCUACUUUAAACUCCCCACUCCGGCCACGGGGGCUAAUAGCUCUGGCCCAGAGGCCAUGUAGUGGAAAACUUCCAAUCUCCCAGCACACCACCUGGGGGACGGUGCAUCCUCCUGGAAAGUGAACCACACACACAGCUCCCCUGGAAACAGGAGGCUUCCGCCAAACAUGAGACAAGCGGCCUGGAAUAUUUCAGUUGUGUCCUAUUAGGUGCUCCGCUAACAUUCUGCUUUCUCUUCUGAGCCCUCAAUAUGCUGCCCAGCACAGGUGGAAGAUGCCCCCUACACAUUUCAAGCCGACUAAUCACACGGGAAGAAACACCGCGUGUUUUAACCGCUUUCUACCGGCUUCUUAUGCCUUCAGUCUGCGCGUUCCUGCAGAGUCACCUCUGAAGGGGGAACCAGAUCAUCCAAAGCUUCUGGCUCUAAUACCAGGUGGCCUUACGUAAACUGUCUCAGGGUCCUCAUUUGCAAAUAAAGGACUUAAAC
rnacentral:lncRNA from 1 species